rnacentral:rRNA from 1 species
CUACGGAGGGUGCAAGCGUUGUUCGGAAUCACUGGGCGUAAAGGGCGCGCAGGCGGUUUGGUAAGUCAGAUGUGAAAGCCCAUGGCUCAACCAUGGAAGUGCAUUUGAAACUGUCAGACUUGAGUACUAGAGGGGAAAGUGGAAUUCCCGGUGUAGAGGUGAAAUUCGUAGAUAUCGGGAGGAAUACCGGUGGCGAAGGCGACUUUCUGGCUAGAUACUGACGCUGAGGCGCGAAAGCGUGGGGAGCAAACAGGAUUAGAUACCCCAGUAGUCC